rnacentral:rRNA from 1 species
GUCGUGCCUUCCCGGUGAGCUUGUGGGCUUAAACGGACGCGGUAAAGCGUGCUAAGGUAGCUAAAUUAUGGCCUAUUAAUUGUAGGUCCUGUGAAUGGUUUGACGAGUUUCCAACUGUCUCUAGUUUUUUUUGGUGAACUUGAAUUGGAUGUGCAAAUGCUUCCAUGGGUAAGAAAGACGAGAAGACCCCGUGAAGUUAGAAAUUUAAGUUAUUGGGAAGUUCCAAGGCUAAUUUGUGGCCGAAUCGUUGAGGAGCACUAUAAUCUAGUGUUUUAGAAGGGGUGAAUAAUAGCAGUUUUGGCUGGGGCAGCAAAGGAGCAAAGCUAGACUCCUUUAGGGUGUAAAACAGAUGUGUUACGACCCACAAACAUUAAGGUGUGAUUAUCAGAAGAAGUUACUCCGGGGAUAACAGCGUAAUCUGUCUUGAUAGUUCUUAUAGAUGGGCGGGUUUGCGACCUCGAUGUUGGCUCUGGAUAUCC